AACCUAUAGGAAGACUUGGAGAAAUGUGGGACUCCAAUACACAGGGUUCCCAGCCAACGAAUUGUUAACUAGGUAGAAGGAUUAUAAAGGCCGCUGAUUGGCUCCUCCGGUGCGAGCCGGCGGCCAUCUUGGAUAGCGCAUGAAAUGAAAAGAAUGAGCUUCCGAUCGUACGUGCUUUACCAUGUUUACAAUGAAAGAUAUCAUCAUCAUCCUUUAAAAUGCCUUCUUGUGCCGCAAUCAACUGUACUAAUCGACUCGUGAAAGGGUCAGGAAAAACAUUUCACAAAUUUCCCAAAGCUGGUUCAGCCCAUCUAAAGGAAUGGCUGGUCAAGAUGAAAAGAGACAAGUGGACACCGAGCAAGUAUGCCACCCUGUGCUCAGACCACUUUGAAGCAGAGUGCUUUGACCGCACUGGCCAGACAACCAGGCUCCGUCAUGGUGCAAUUCCAACCAUAUUCAACUUCCACCGGCAAAGGAUUUUUUUUUUUUUUUUUACCAGAUUGCAAAAUUUGGGAAUGGAAGUGCCAGCAACUUUCCCUUGUUUUAUGCAUGCUACAAAUUACAAAAAAUACAUCUUUCCAGAAAAAAUUGUAAUUCAUGCUGAUGCCUUUAGAAGUUUAGCCAGCAUGCAACUGAUGCAAGGAAACAAGCACAGAAUGUCUGUCCAUUCAAACACCAAUAGUGUGCAUGUCUCACACAAUUUGUAAAUAUGUAGCCUUAAUGGUGUUGCAUUAUUAAAACAUUGACUUUCCUUAUCAUUGCAAUGUUAAUUAUUGUUAUCCAUUCAGGCUGAUGAAUGAUCUUAACAAGAAAACUUAAAGACUUGAUCAUGUGUAUAGUACCGUAAUGUGUAUUCAAAACAUGCCUUUAUUAGUGUUGCAAUAUAAACAUUUCAUUGGACUCUUUCUUUAUCAUUACAAUAUGAACUAUUACCAGGUAUAUCCGUCUGGACUGAUGGUUUUAUCAAGACAACUAGCACAAAAUGUCUGUCCGUUCAAGCACCAUGAAUUCUAGUAGAGUGUGCAUGUCUCACACAAAAUUGGAAAUUUAUAGCAUAAGCCUUGAUCAUGUGUUCAGUGCCAAAAUUUCUAUUCAAAACUUGCCUUGAUAGUGUUGCAAUAUUUACAUUUCAUUUGACUCUUUCAUUAUUGCAAUAUCAAUACAUGUACUUAUUGAUAAUCCAAAAGAAUUUUAUCAAGACAGCUAGCACAAGAUGUCUAACCAUUCAAGCACCGUAUAUUCAAGUAUAGUGUGCAUGUCUCACACAAAAUUGUAAAUUUAUAGCUUAAGCCUUGAUCAUGUGUUCAGUGCCAAAAUAUCUAUUCAAAACUUGCCUUAAUAGUGUUGCAAUAUUUUGUCUCUUUCAUUAUUGCAUUAUGAAUACAUAUAAUUGUUGAUGAUUAAAAAAUAAAUGUCAUGUGUACGGGUAAAUGCCAUGUCAUUUAUUUUGUAUGCUACCUAGUGCUAGAGAAAUAAUAUAUUUUCAGGGUUAUUCUAAAUCUGCAACACAUUUUCUUUUUGAGUUUUAAAUAAAGAAAUUCUUUAUUUUGAUGAAAAUUUGAAAGCAGCUAAAUGUAUUAGUCUAUACAUACCUUGAAAUUUACAUGUAUAUGUUCACUAUGUAUUAAGUAAUACAUGUACAUAUUCCACGCUUGAAAAAUAUGUGAACAAGUAGAGGCAAAUCUGACGAACAAAACACUGAAAUUAUAUAAGUAUUGGAAGAGGAAUACAACCACAGAAAUUAUACAUGUACAGCCCACCUAUUGCAUAUUCUUCAUGGCAUGCAAAAAGCUGUUUUCAGAAAAAGUUGCCAAAAUUUGGAAUUCAAUAACUCAAUUAUUUUUUCUAAUCACAUUUUCAUUUAGAUUUCUUGUGAUUAGUGCUCAUUAAUUAGAUAUCAUUUUUAUAUUUUGAAGUACUGGUGCACCUGUAGGCAGAUGCUCCCCAUUUGCAUACUAACCAGGAUGUACUGUACCUAUAAUUGUUUAUGAUGGAAAGUGAAUUUUUUUCAGUGUUUUACAAUCUAUGUUUUGUUUGAUUUUUCUUUUAUUUAACUGAUUUUACUGGUGGGAUAAGUUUAAAUAUGUUCCAAGUUUAAAGGAAACUACAGUAUACUCUACGUGCACAAUAAUACACACAUGUACUUCCGAAUCCUUGUACUCCUAUGUUGAUUCUAUCAUACGAUAUUCAAUAUUUGCUCAAUCUCAUACUAGUACAGCAUACAUAUAACAUGCUGUGAAAUUUUGGAUAGGUACAGUAUGCGAAUUAAAUAUAGAUGUUUUUACACUUCUCGAUGAACGGUAUUCCUUAAUGAUUUUAUGCAGUUAAUUGACACAAAUAAGUUGAUUUUAUUGCUGUAACUGCAUGAAGUUCAGCUUCAGAUUGGUUUUUCGUAAAGAUUACGUUUGGCUUAUGGACGACUUGUGAUCUUGUGGAGUCAACUCAUUUCCUGAAAAUAUACAUGUAUUGUACACCACUUCAGUACUAUUUUGUUUGUGUGCUGUUCUGCAGUAUAUUUAUCUAUCAUUUCUUGUAUUUUUAACAAGAAUCUUUAUCACAUUUCUUAUUGCCACAGCUCAGAAAUAAAUAUUGUUCACAUCAAA